rnacentral:rRNA from 1 species
UACGUAGGGGGCUAGCGUUGUCCGGAAUCAUUGGGCGUAAAGAGCGCGUAGGCGGCUAGAUAAGUCCGGUGUGAAAGUCCAGGGCUCAACCCUGGAACGCCGGUGGAUACUGUCGGGCUAGAGUCCGGAAGAGGCGAGUGGAAUUCCUGGUGUAGCGGUGGAAUGCGCAGAUAUCAGGAGGAACACCGAUGGCGAAGGCAGCUCGCUGGGACGGUACUGACGCUGAGGCGCGAAAGCGUGGGGAGCGAACAGG